rnacentral:rRNA from 1 species
AGUACCCGGAGGAAAAGAAAUCAACCGAGAUUCCCUGAGUAGCGGCGAGCGAAAGGGGACUAGCCCUUAAGCAACUUGUGUUUUAAGAGAACAGUCUGGGAAGGCUGGCCAUAGUGGGUGAUAGCCCCGUAUCUGAAAAGGCACUUGUUGUGAAAUCGAGUAGGUCGGGACACGAGAAAUCUUGACUGAAUAUGGGGGGACCAUCCUCCAAGGCUAAAUACUCCUGAUUGACCGAUAGUGAACCAGUACCGUGAGGGAAAGGCGAAAAGAACCCCGGAGAGGGGAGUGAAAUAGAACCUAAAACCGUGUGCAUACAAGCAGUGGGAGCCGUAAGGUGACUGCGUACCUUUUGUAUAAUGGGUCAGCGACUUACUUUCAGUAGCAAGGUUAACCGUAUAGGGGAGCCGUAGAGAAAUCGAGUCUUAACUGGGCGAUCAGUUGCUGGAAGUAGACCCGAAACCGAGCGAUCUAUCCAUGGCCAGGGUGAAGGUUAGGUAACACUGACUGGAGGCCCGAACCCACAUCUGUUGAAAAAGAUGGGGAUGAGCUGUGGAUCGGAGUGAAAGGCUAAUCAAGCUCGGAGAUAGCUGGUUCUCCUCGAAAGCUAUUUAGGUAGCGCCUCAUGUAUCACCCUCGGGGGUAGAGCACUGUUUCGGCUAGGGGGCCAUCCCGGCUUACCAAACCGAUGCAAACUCCGAAUACCGAGGAGUGCAAUCAUGGGAGACACACGGCGGGUGCUAACGUCCGUCGUGGAAAGGGAAACAACCCAGACCGCCAGCUAAGGUCCCUAAAUCUAGAUUAAGUGGGAAACGAUGUGGGAAGGCAUAGACAGCUAGGAGGUUGGCUUAGAAGCAGCCAUCCUUUAAAGAUAGCGUAACAGCUCACUGGUCUAAAUAAGUUGUCUUGCGGCGAAGAUGUAACGGGGCUCAAGCCAUGAGCCGAAGCUGAGGAUGCACAUAGUGCAUGGUAGCGGAGCGUAGUGU